AGAGCUUUAGUAGAUGAAAAUGAAUUAGAAGAAGAAAGAAGACUUUGCUAUGUUGGAAUUACAAGAGGUAUGCAAAAAGUAUAUUUAACCCAUGCAAG
rnacentral:sRNA from 1 species